rnacentral:rRNA from 1 species
CAGCCGCCGCGGGAAUACGUAGGUCCCGAGCGUUGUCCGGAUUUAUUGGGCGUAAAGGGAGCGCAGGCGGUUUAGUAAGUCUGAAGUUAAAGGCAUUGGCUCAACCAAUGUAUGCUUUGGAAACUGUUAGACUUGAGUGCAGAAGGGGAGAGUGGAAUUCCAUGUGUAGCGGUGAAAUGCGUAGAUAUAUGGAGGAACACCGGUGGCGAAAGCGGCUCUCUGGUCUGUCACUGACGCUGAGGCUCGAAAGCGUGGGUAGCGAACAGGAUUAGAUACCCGCGUAGUCCCUGUCUCUUAUACC